AGAGUUUGAUCCUGGCUCAGAUUGAACGCUGGCGGCAUGCUUUACACAUGCAAGUCGAACGGCAGCACGGGUGCUUGCACCUGGUGGCGAGUGGCGAACGGGUGAGUAAUGCACCGGAACGUACCCAGUAAUGGGGGAUAACACAUCGAAAGAUGUGCUAAUACCGCAUACGCCCUGAGGGGGAAAGCGGGGGAUCGUAAGACCUCGCGUUAUUGGAGCGGCCGAUGCCGGAUUAGCUAGUUGGUGAGGUAAGAGCUCACCAAGGCGACGAUCCGUAGCUGGUCUGAGAGGACGACCAGCCACACUGAGACUGAGACACGGCCCAGACUCCUACGGGAGGCAGCAGUGGGGAAUUUUGGACAAUGGGCGCAAGCCUGAUCCAGCCAUGCCGCGUGAGUGAAGAAGGCCUUCGGGUU
rnacentral:rRNA from 1 species